rnacentral:lncRNA from 1 species
CCAGGAGAUAUUUCACCACUAUCUAAUUGCUCAACAAGAACAUCAUGUUGUUUCUGCAGAAGUUGAUCUUUUCUCUUGCAAGAAACACUAACAGUAUUGGCAAUUGAAGUGACAUAAUUGAAGAAAUCAUCCAUUGAAGCACAACAUCUAGCUACAGCAACUACCACAAGAUGCAAUUGAUGAGCAAAACAAUGGAUGUAAAAAGCAAAGGGGUUUUCAUUCAAUACCUGCCUUUGCAACCCAUGAAACUGCCCUC